rnacentral:tRNA from 1 species
GGUUGUAGCUCAGUGGUAGAGCACUUGCCUUGCUUUCAUAAGGCACUGGGUUCAAUCCUCAGCACCA